ensembl:lncRNA
GAAGACAACACACCACCCCCCCCUCCUAGAGGAAGACCAUCCUCUCACUAUAUAGGGAAUAGUAGAGUGAGGUGCAGCUAUUGUAUUGAUAUCUCAUUAGUCUACCACCAGCAGUCUGCCACAGUAGUCUGCCACCAGCAUGCUGCUCUAGUAGUCUGCCACAGUAGUCUGCCACCAGCGGUCUGCCACCAGCAGUCUGCCACCAGCAGUCUGCCACCAGCAGUCUGCCACCAGUAGUCUGCCACCAGCAGUCUGCCACCAGCAGUCUGCCACCAGUAGUCUGCCACCAGCAGUAUGCCACCAGUAGUCUGCAACUGGCAGUCUGCCACCGGUAGUCUGCCACCGGUAGUCUGCCACCGGUAGUCUGCCAGCCUAUAGUCUGCCAGCCGGUAGUCUGCCAGCCGGUAGUUUGGUGAGAAAGCUGCUGGAACAGACUGUGUUGUAUUUUAUUUGAAGGGUUCUAGAUUAUUUUUGUCCAGAAUGUUGAUUAAAGCCUUUGUGAAGAACAAAGGAUAACAGGAAACAUAUAAUCAAUAAUUGUUAGCUGCUGUACUGCUGCAUUAAUUUCAGAGCAACAUGUAGGCCUCGUCUAUUUAGGGGAUCUUUGUACCAUGACGUUUAGCACGAGUUGGAUUAGAAAUACAGAAACCAAACAAACGGAUAAUAUCUUAGUGUUAUCAGAAGCCAAACAGUCAAACUUACAUUUCCAUCUGAUCUUGAGAAAAACUGUAACAACAGUGUGUGGGUCUCUGGUCUAAAGUAGUGCACUAUAUAGGGAAUAGGGCUCUGGUCUAAAGUAGUGCACUAUAUAGGGAAUAGGGCUCUGGUCUAAAGUAGCGCACUAUAUAGGGAAUAGGGCUCUGGUCUAAAGUAGCGCACUAUAUAGGGAAUAGGGCUCUGGUCUAAAGUAGUGCACUAUAUAGGGAAUAGGGCUCUGGUCUAAAGUAGUGUACUAUAUAGGGAAUAGGGCUCUGGUCUAAAGUAGUGUACUAUAUAGGGAAUAGGGCUCUGGUCUAAAGUAGUGUACUAUAUAGGGAAUAGGGCUCUGGUCUAAAGUAGCGUACUAUAUAGGGAAUAGGGCUCUGGUCUAAAGUAGUGUACUAUAUAGGGAAUAGGGCUCUGGUCUAAAGUAGCGUACUAUAUAGGGAAUAGGGCUCUGGUCUAAAGUAGUGCACUAUAUAGGGAAUAGGGCUCUGGUCUAAAGUACUGCACUUUAUAGGGAAUAGGGUGCUAUUUGGGACAUACAUCCCCAGUCUCAUGCUUUUGUCGAUGCUGAUCAAAAACAUGAUGAAAAAACCAACUCUGUGCUUUAUGUCUUUGGGAUGGACCUGGGCCUUGACUGACUACAUAUCACUUCUUAACUCAAUGACCUUCAACAACUGGGGAUGUUGCAAUUCUCUCAGAAACUAAAGAAAUCUUUUCCAAUCCAUCACUGCUUUUGUACGAGCUGUUGAAACGGGAAAGAGACAGUGAGCAAUGUGGAUGGGAACAAUUACUGGUACGAACACCCCUAGGGAUGGACUGGAACAACUAGGGGUGGACUGGGACAACUAGGGGUGGACUGGGACCACCAGGGAUGGACUGGGACCACUAGGGGUGGAAUGGGACCACCAGUGGAGGACUGGGACCAUCAGGGGUGGAAUGGGACCACAAGGCACGAACUGGGACAAAAAAUCGGCCAUGGAAUUUCUAACACAGCAGCCCAUUUUGGUCCUUGAGACCCCUGCAUUGGUCUGUUUUCCCCCUUGACGCCAUCGUUAUUAGUGCAAAAACACCCAUUUAGAUAGGCACAUUAGGCUAAAGUCGGACAAGCCCAUCUGGCAUUUGCCACAAUAGCCCUAUGCACAGUCCACCACUGAACACCACCUUCCUCCUGUGCUGUCAUGUGGAAGUGGAUUGACGUUGGCGUUCCCAAUCAGGACAAAAUGACGACACUCAACAAAAACAAACAUGUUAAUGUGUUUUAAUGCGUCUGAAGACCGCCGUUCAGUUGAAAUGAUAAACCACAGUGGAAGACUUCCACAUGGAAGACAUCACCUACCUGUUGUCGACGGUUAUGUAGCCUCAAAACAGACAGGUUAAGGAGGCUGUUCUUCAAGAGGUCAAUGUGGAUACAGAUUUAAAGUAGAGGUCAAUGUGGAUACAGAUUUAAAGUAGAGGUCAAUGUGGAUACAGAUUUAAAGUAGAGGUCAAUGUGGAUACCGAUCUAAAGUAGAGGUCAAUGUGGAUACCGAUUUAAAGUAUGAAUCAUAGAAAUAGAAUUGGUCAUGGGUACACUCAAAAUGGCCGCCGGGUCAACCCGCCAAAACUGCCCCAAGUGACUGGGAGGUCCAUUCUAAGGAUCCUCCUUAUAUGAUGUGAAUGACAUCAUGACACGCCAGCAACUAUAAGAGUAUAAAAAAUACUUAUUUCCAUAUGCUGUUUUUUCUCUCUCUAUGUUAAUAACUAGUGUAGUAAUCACUGUACAUAUGUUAUUAAUUAUUUUAAAUUAUUAGGUUCUGGUCUCAAUAGAAUCAGGGUUACUUGGAGUCAAAUCAUUUAAUCUUGAGUCUCGUCAAUAAUUAGGAUGCUCGUUUGUUUUUCUCAUUGAUUUAUGCAGUUGUUUAAAUUGUGUAUAGAACUUGUAAAUGUAAUUUUCUGACAGCAGCAAUUGAUUUUAUUUUUUAAGAUUGGAUACAAUUGGUUUGUGUUACGCACCAUGAGGUCAAUAAUAACAGUACUGUCAUAUCUGAAACCUAGAAUGUGUCCUAAAUGGUACCCUAUUCCCUAUAUAGUGCACUACUUUUGACCAGAGCACCAUAGACCCUGGUCAAAAGUAGUGUACUAUAUAGGGAAUAGGGUCCCAUUUGGGAAGCACUCACAUUUCCCUGCUCCCUCUACCCCUCAUUCCCUAACAGUCAUACAAGAUCUGAAAUAUCUACGUUCACUGCAAUAACAUCAUGGUCAAUGUGAUUGUCUCUUCUCAUAUUCUUUGCCUUUUAUUGGGUUUAUUGUAACGAGCACGGCUGCAACACACACACACACACACACAGGGAGUCAUGAGGUGUGUGUAUUUAAUCAAAAACAACAAUUUUCUAAUCUUAGUAGAUUGAGUUUAAUGUCAAAUCCCCCCACCAAAUAAAUGUUAUAGGUUUCUUUGUUUUUCCCUUUUGCCUUUCAAGUCCAAGGUCGUGCAGUACAGUUCCAAGGUCGUGCAGUACAGUUCCAACAGUACAGUUCCAAGGUCGAGCAGUACAGUUCCAAGGUCGAGCAGUACAGUUCCAAGGUCGAGCAGUACAGUUCCAAGGUCGAGCAGUACAGUUCCAAGGUCGUACAGUAAAUUGAAAUGGAAUGAUGGCUUUUCUCUGCUGUGCUUUUCUGGCCACGUCCGUUAUUUUUCCAAUCUGGAGGAAAUGUUUUGGGUUGCAGCAUUUACCUCAGCUCUGAAUUGGUGUGUUACCGUGUGUGUGUGUAUGUUUGCAUGGUGUGUGUGUGUGUGUGUGUGUGUGUUGCAUGGUGAGUGUGUGUGUGUGUUUGAUGGGAUGUGAUGUGAUGUGUGUGUCUGUGGGAUGUGUGUUUGUUUGCAUGGUGAGUGUAUGUGU